UGAGAGGCACACCAACACCAGCAGAUGAGUCUCCGUUUAAUACUUGAGAUAUUAUAACAGUAAGUUAUAGCUCCAGAAGUCAGUCACCAGCAGCAGAUGUCACACAGUUAUAAAACGGGAAACUUGAAGAAUAAGCUCCAGAAGUCAGCAGCAGCAGCAGACGUCACACAGCCAUAAUGCGAGAAGCUUGAAGAAUAAUGUGGUAGUGGUUUGGAUACAUAUGACAUAUUUCACCUUCAGUUUAGAAUUGAAGUUUGUUUAUAUUGGCAGGUGGUAACUCGGAGCUCUUUGUUCCAGUUAUGGCUCCGAUAGUCUUCCAGCAGCAGCAAAUGUUACACAGUCCUAUAGAGGCAAACUUGAAGUAUGAGGUAAUAGUGUUUUGCAUAGAAUGGC